GACGAACGCUGGCGGCGUGCUUAACACAUGCAAGUCGAACGGAAAGGCCCUGCUUUUGUGGGGUGCUCGAGUGGCGAACGGGUGAGUAACACGUGAGUAACCUGCCCUUGACUUUGGGAUAACUUCAGGAAACUGGGGCUAAUACCGGAUAGGAGCUCCUGCUGCAUGGUGGGGGUUGGAAAGUUUCGGCGGUUGGGGAUGGACUCGCGGCUUAUCAGCUUGUUGGUGGGGUAGUGGCUUACCAAGGCUUUGACGGGUAGCCGGCCUGAGAGGGUGACCGGCCACAUUGGGACUGAGAUACGGCCCAGACUCCUACGGGAGGCAGCAGUGGGGAAUAUUGCACAAUGGGCGGAAGCCUGAUGCAGCAACGCCGCGUGCGGGAUGACGGCCUUCGGGUUGUAAACCGCUUUCGCCUGUGACGAAGCGUGAGUGACGGUAAUGGGUAAAGAAGCACCGGCUAACUACGUGCCAGCAGCCGCGGUGAUACGUAGGGUGCGAGCGUUGUCCGGAUUUAUUGGGCGUAAAGGGCUCGUAGGUGGUUGAUCGCGUCGGAAGUGUAAUCUUGGGGCUUAACCCUGAGCGUGCUUUCGAUACGGGUUGACUUGAGGAAGGUAGGGGAGAAUGGAAUUCCUGGUGGAGCGGUGGAAUGCGCAGAUAUCAGGAGGAACACCAGUGGCGAAGGCGGUUCUCUGGGCCUUUCCUGACGCUGAGGAGCGAAAGCGUGGGGAGCGAACAGGCUUAGAUACCCUGGUAGUCCACGCUGUAAACGGUGGGUACUAGGUGUGGGGUCCAUUCCACGGGUUCCGUGCCGUAGCUAACGCUUUAAGUACCCCGCCUGGGGAGUACGGCCGCAAGGCUAAAACUCAAAGGAAUUGACGGGGCCCCGCACAAGCGGCGGAGCAUGCGGAUUAAUUCGAUGCAACGCGUAGAACCUUACCUGGGUUUGACAUGGAUCGGGAGUGCUCAGAGAUGGGUGUGCCUCUUUUGGGGUCGGUUCACAGGUGGUGCAUGGCUGUCGUCAGCUCGUGUCGUGAGAUGUUGGGUUAAGUCCCGCAACGAGCGCAACCCUUGUUCACUGUUGCCAGCACGUUAUGGUGGGGACUCAGUGGAGACCGCCGGGGUCAACUCGGAGGAAGGUGGGGAUGACCUCAAGUCAUCAUGCCCCUUAUGUCCAGGGCUUCACGCAUGCUACAAUGGCUGGUACAGAGAGUGGCGAGCCUGUGAGGGUGAGCGAAUCUCGGAAAGCCGGUCUCAGUUCGGAUUGGGGUCUGCAACUCGACCUCAUGAAGUCGGAGUCGCUAGUAAUCGCAGAUCAGCAACGCUGCGGUGAAUACGUUCCCGGG
rnacentral:rRNA from 1 species